rnacentral:sRNA from 1 species
UAAUGAGGAAUUCAGUCUAGGGUCAUCGUAUCUGGUGGUAACGACUGAGUAAUCAACAUCGUGUUGG